GAUGAACGCUGGCGGCGUGCCUAAUACAUGCAAGUCGAGCGAACGGACGAGAAGCUUGCUUCUCUGAUGUUAGCGGCGGACGGGUGAGUAACACGUGGAUAACCUACCUAUAAGACUGGGAUAACUUCGGGAAACCGGAGCUAAUACCGGAUAAUAUUUUGAACCGCAUGGUUCAAAAGUGAGAGACGGUCUUGCUGUCACUUAUAGAUGGAUCCGCGCUGCAUUAGCUAGUUGGUAAGGUAACGGCUUACCAAGGCAACGGUGCAUAGCCGACCUGAGAGGGUGAUCGGCCACACUGGAACUGAGACACGGUCCAGACUCCUACGGGAGGCAGCAGUAGGGAAUCUUCCGCAAUGGGCGAAAGCCUGACGGAGCAACGCCGCGUGAGUGAUGAAGGUCUUCGGAUCGUAAAACUCUGUUAUUAGGGAAGAACAUAUGUGUAAGUAACUGUGCACAUCUUGACGGUACCUAAUCAGAAAGCCACGGCUAACUACGUG
rnacentral:rRNA from 1 species